CACGUAGGGCGCGAGCGUUGUCCGGAAUUAUUGGGCGUAAAGAGCUCGUAGGCGGUCUUUUAAGUCGGGGGUGAAAUCCUGGAGCUCAACUCCAGAACUGCCUUCGAUACUGGAAGACUUGAGUCCGGGAGAGGUGAGUGGAACUGCGAGUGUAGAGGUGAAAUUCGUAGAUAUUCGCAAGAACACCAGUGGCGAAGGCGGCUCACUGGCCCGGUACUGACGCUGAGGUGCGAAAGCGUGGGGAGCAAACAGG
rnacentral:rRNA from 1 species